rnacentral:rRNA from 1 species
CCUACGGGUGGCAGCAGUGGGGAAUAUUGCACAAUGGGCGCAAGCCUGAUGCAACCAUGCCGCGUGUAUGAAGAAGGCCUUCGGGUUGUAAAGUACUUUCAGCGGGGAGGAAGGUGUUGUGGUUAAUAACCACAGCAAUUGACGUUACCCGCAGAGGAAGCACCGGCUAGCUCCGUGCCAGCAGCCGCGGUAAUACGGAGGGUGCAAGCGUUAAUCGGAAUUACUGGGCGUAAAGCGCACGCAGGCGGUCUGUCAAGUCGGAUGUGAAAUCCCCGGGCUCAACCUGGGAACUGCAUUCGAAACUGGCAGGCUUGAGUCUUGUAGAGGGGGGUAGAAUUCCAGGUGUAGCGGUGAAAUGCGUAGAGAUCUGGAGGAAUACCGGUGGCGAAGGCGGCCCCCUGGACAAAGACUGACGCUCAGGUGCAAAAGCGUGGGGAGCAAACAGGAUUAGAUACCCCAGUAGUC